UCAAGGAGAACAAAAAUUUCCCUUGCUUCUUCUUUCUUCCCCAUUCGGCAAUUAAAAAAAAAAAAAAACAAACUUCUUCCAUUUCUUUCCUUCAAGAAUUGAAGUGGUUCCUUCCAGCUUAAAGAGGAGGAUUUGAACAAUCCAGGCUUAGAGUAAUUGAGGACAAUAAGCUUUCAAGUUUCUUUUGCAGGUACACCUUGCAUGACAUUGGGAGCAUGAGAGCGAUUUAUCCUUUAGAGAUUUGGAGUUUUAUUUUGUUAGAAAAUUUAGAAGUUGUACCUAGACAAUUGUAUUAUUUGAGUUAUUAGACUAGUCUUAGUUUUUGGUUGUUUUUGGUAGUGUUGGUUUUAGCCUGUGCGUUUAGAUAUAGCUUGUAUUGAAACGUGGCGGUAGCAUCCCUUUUUCCUUGUUUUGUUUAGCUUCCGCAAGUAAAUAA